UCAUGGCUAAAUGAGGUCGGAGCUUCUGAUCCGCGUUGAUCAUUCCGGCGAAGAUGAUCACGAUUCGACCCCCAAACCUUCUUCUCCUUCCUCUUCUUCUUCUUCUUUUUCCUCUCAUCAAUGCGGCUAGAGCAUUUCCAUCGGUGACUCUAAUAGGAGGUUCUUAAAAAAAAACCAAAAAAAUAAAUAAAAAAAGAGAUAAAACCAUAGAACCAGUGUCUAACAUAGGAUUUUUGGAACUGGUAUUGGCUGCCUUCCCUGGUAGAGACGUAGAAACCCCAUACGUCUCUCUUUGUCGAAGGUUUUUUUUCUUUCCGAGAAAUCUCGUCGUCGUUGUUGCUCGGCUGCUACCUCCUCCUCCAUGAAGAAAUCUCCGACAAGUUUCUCUGCUGCGCUUGCCUGGAACUUCUUUACAAACUGAUUGUGCUAUGUAAGAAGUUGACUUUAAUCUCAAUCCCAAUCCCAAUCAUUUUUUUUUUCUGGUUCAAGCUUAAUGAGGCAGCAAGCCAAAAAUCCUGACAAGCUUUCUGUUCUGACCACAAAGUAGUGGGAAGAGUACGCUCUUGAAUCAUUUGUUUGGAACAAACUUUAGAGAAAUGGAUGCAUUUAGAGGAACGCGUGUUCUGUUUUUUUUUUGUAUCAGAAGAAUGGUUGCUUUCUCUUGGAUGAUAGCUUUGUGUUUUUUAAUAGGUUAGAGAACUUGAUUUCGACCGCAGAAUGAUAGCUUCAUCUAUGCAUAUUCAUUUUUGGCUUUUAUCUGUAUCAUUUAUCUGCACAGAGCUGAGCCUUUUUGCUUUUGUAAGUUCACUUCACUACCUAUGCCUUUAUUCUUCAGGCAUAUAUUGAAGCUGCUGAGAAUAUGUUCGAAGAUGAUGUCGCUUCAAACAAAGCAAUAGGGACCUUUGGUUCAAGCUUAAUGAGGUAGCAAGCCAAAAAUCCUGACAAGCUUUCUGUUCUGACCCAUUGCAACACCGGCAGGUAUGAUUUUAGAUAGAGUCUGAAACUCAUUGAAGUCGGCAAAUCAAGAUUACAACUAAUCGGCUUUUUCUCGUUUAUGCAUUUCUUUCAUGUUUGUUUAAAAUUUCUAAUUAUAAAUCUGUAUUUCUAUUUUUAAUAUGUUUUUAUGUCAUAUUUGUUUAAAUUUUAUGAAAUUCAAUAAUUUAUAAGUUUUGUAAAAUUUAAAUUUAAUAAUUCAAUUUCAAAAAAAAAAAUUUAAUAACCUCAUAUGAGUUCUCCCAUUGGACCUUGUCAAAACUAAUUAUAUUAUUAAGGGUUCUAAAAUUCAUACAGUACACAAUUAACAAUUAAAUUAAUUUUAAAAACCCAUUAAAGGUUUAACCAAUGGAGGUUGUCUUAGAUGUUUUCACUUAUUUCCCUUUCAUCUCUCUCUCUCUCUCUCUCUAAAUACAUCCUUAAGGUUUUAUAGGUUUCUUUAUUUCUUAUGUGAUUUAGGGCUCGAUUGCAAAAUUGUUCAAAGUAGGUUUUGUUUAGAAUAGCGCUGAACCGUCCCGUAUUUAUUAAAUUUUGGCUUGGGGUUGUAGUUUAAUCUUGAUCUGUUCACGAUUUUAAUAAACAAGAUAUGUUUCCCUGAAGACGUAUGAAAUUCUGACAGAUUUCUCUGUUUAGUGUCCUUAAACUCAUAGUUUCUUCCUGGAUUAUUUAGUUAUUACCAAUGGACACGAGAAUCUGGUUUUUGAUUAUCUGCUAUUAAAUUUUGAUGGCUUUCCAGACAUUUUUUGAUCUUUAGGCUUUUGACAAUUGAUCAGAAGCUUAGCAUCAAAGAAGUUAAUGACUGAAUUGUAGGCAACAUCUUUUCUUUCUUACUUAACAUUAUUUAGUAUUGAGUUUUCCAUUUGUCCCCUAAGCAAGUGUGGUGGAGUGUAACACUUACUACUCAAUGUACGGACAUGUAGAGAAACUAGCACAAGAGAUUAGGAAAGUGCGGCUUCUGUUGAUGGUGUCGAUGCGAAACUCUGGCAGCAUCCUCUCAAAGAAAUAAGAAGACAUUCAUACUGAAGCAUCGAGCUAAGUGUUUGUUCUUAACAGGUACCAGAGACCUCCAAAAACAUGUGCUCUCUAAAUGAGUACACCGCCAAAGAGUGAUGCUCCUCUUAUCACCCCCAAUGACCUUGCCGAGGCUGAUGGCUUUAUCUUUUGCUUUGGUAUGAUGGCUGCUCAGUUCAAGGUAUUCUUAGAUAAAACUGGUGGUCUCUGGAGGACUUUACAACUUGCUGGUAAGCCAGCCAGAAUCUUCUACAGCACCGGGUCUCAAGGUGGUGGUCAAGAAACCACCGCAUAAGUUUCUUUUCUCAAUCCAAAAUAACACCUCAUCAAAGACACUUGCUUCGGUUUUUAUGUUUUGGAGUGUUACUUGUGUUGUCAUUGAUUUCUAACACGUUUUUUUUUAUAAUCUUUGUAAGCAGGAUUUAUAAACUAUCGAACUAAUUCUAUUUUUAUAAAUCUUGAUCUCAUGCCAAUUAAGCAAACAUAAGAAUUUUUUUCUCA